UUGAAGAGUUUGAUCAUGGCUCAGAUUGAACGCUGGCGGCAGGCCUAACACAUGCAAGUCGAACGGUAACAGGAAGCAGCUUGCUGCUUUGCUGACGAGUGGCGGACGGGUGAGUAAUGUCUGGGAAACUGCCUGAUGGAGGGGGAUAACUACUGGAAACGGUGGCUAAUACCGCAUAACGUCGCAAGACCAAAGAGGGGGACCUUCGGGCCUCUUGCCAUCAGAUGUGCCCAGAUGGGAUUAGCUUGUUGGUGAGGUAACGGCUCACCAAGGCGACGAUCCCUAGCUGGUCUGAGAGGAUGACCAGCCACACUGGAACUGAGACACGGUCCAGACUCCUACGGGAGGCAGCAGUGGGGAAUAUUGCACAAUGGGCGCAAGCCUGAUGCAGCCAUGCCGCGUGUAUGAAGAAGGCCUUCGGGUUGUAAAGUACUUUCAGCGGGGAGGAAGGUGUUGUGGUUAAUAACCACAGCAAUUGACGUUACCCGCAGAAGAAGCACCGGCUAACUCCGUGCCAGCAGCCGCGGUAAUACGGAGGGUGCAAGCGUUAAUCGGAAUUACUGGGCGUAAAGCGCACGCAGGCGGUCUGUCAAGUCGGAUGUGAAAUCCCCGGGCUCAACCUGGGAACUGCAUUCGAAACUGGCAGGCUUGAGUCUUGUAGAGGGGGGUAGAAUUCCAGGUGUAGCGGUGAAAUGCGUAGAGAUCUGGAGGAAUACCGGUGGCGAAGGCGGCCCCCUGGACAAAGACUGACGCUCAGGUGCGAAAGCGUGGGGAGCAAACAGGAUUAGAUACCCUGGUAGUCCACGCCGUAAACGAUGUCUACUUGGAGGUUGUGCCCUUGAGGCGUGGCUUCCGGAGCUAACGCGUUAAGUAGACCGCCUGGGGAGUACGGCCGCAAGGUUAAAACUCAAAUGAAUUGACGGGGGCCCGCACAAGCGGUGGAGCAUGUGGUUUAAUUCGAUGCAACGCGAAGAACCUUACCUGGUCUUGACAUCCACGGAAGAAUUCAGAGAUGGAUUUGUGCCUUCGGGAACCGUGAGACAGGUGCUGCAUGGCUGUCGUCAGCUCGUGUUGUGAAAUGUUGGGUUAAGUCCCGCAACGAGCGCAACCCUUAUCCUUUGUUGCCAGCGGUCCGGCCGGGAACUCAAAGGAGACUGCCAGUGAUAAACUGGAGGAAGGUGGGGAUGACGUCAAGUCAUCAUGGCCCUUACGACCAGGGCUACACACGUGCUACAAUGGCGCAUACAAAGAGAAGCGACCUCGCGAGAGCAAGCGGACCUCAUAAAGUGCGUCGUAGUCCGGAUUGGAGUCUGCAACUCGACUCCAUGAAGUCGGAAUCGCUAGUAAUCGUGGAUCAGAAUGCCACGGUGAAUACGUUCCCGGGCCUUGUACACACCGCCCGUCACACCAUGGGAGUGGGUUGCAAAAGAAGUAGGUAGCUUAACCUUCGGGAGGGCGCUUACCACUUUGUGAUUCAUGACUGGGGUGAAGUCGUAACAAGGUAACCGUAGGGGAACCUGCGGUUGGAUCACCUCCUU
rnacentral:rRNA from 1 species